rnacentral:rRNA from 1 species
GAGACGCUGGCGGCGUGCUUAACACAUGCAAGUCAAGGAGAAAGUUUCUUUAGGGAGAUGAGUAAACUGGCGCACGGGUGAAGUAAAAUGUAAGUAAUCUGCCCUUUGGAUGGGAAUAACUACUAGAAAUGGUGGCUAAUACCGAAUAAUGCAGCGGCACCGAGUGGUGAUGUUGUUAAAGACCGAAAGGUUGCCAAGGGAUGAGCUUGCAUCUGAUUAGCUAGUUGGCGGGGUAAAGGCCCACCAAGGCAACGAUCAGUAGCUGGUCUGAGAGGAUGAUCAGCCACACUGGAACUGAGACACGGUCCAGACUCCUACGGGAGGCAGCAGUGAGGAAUAUUGGGCAAUGGCCGUAAGGCUGACCCAGCAACGCCGCGUGGAGGAAGAAGGCCGUAAGGUUGUAAACUCCUGUUAGAGGGAACGAAAAAGCGGGGCAGCACCCUGCAUUGACUGUACCCUCAGAGAAAGCCCCGGCUAACUACGUG